UCCCCGGAGGACUAGGGGUUAGGCCUCAGCGCUUUCACCCCCGUGGCCCAGGUUCAAUUCCUGGCCAGGGAA